rnacentral:rRNA from 1 species
UACGGGGGGGGCAAGCGUUGUUCGGAAUUACUGGGCGUAAAGGGCUCGUAGGUGGCCAACUAAGUCAUACGUGAAAUCCCUCGGCUUAACCGGGGAACUGCGUCUGAUACUGGAUGGCUUGAGGUUGGGAGAGGGAUGCGGAAUUCCAGGUGUAGCGGUGAAAUGCGUAGAGAUCAUGAGGAAGACCAGUGGCGAAGGCGGGUCUCUGGACAGUUCCUGACACUGGAGG